GAGGGUAUAGCUCAACGGUAGAGCGCGUGCAUUGCAUGCAAGAGGUCCUGGGUUCUGUCACCAGUACCUCCA
rnacentral:tRNA from 1 species